rnacentral:rRNA from 1 species
UGGGGAAUAUUGGACAAUGGGCGAAAGCCUGAUCCAGCCAUGCCGCGUGUGUGAAGAAGGUCUUCGGAUUGUAAAGCACUUUAAGUUGGGAGGAAGGGCAGUAAGCGAAUACCUUGCUGUUUUGACGUUACCGACAGAAUAAGCACCGGCUAACUCUGUGCCAGCAGCCGCGGUAAUACAGAGGGUGCAAGCGUUAAUCGGAAUUACUGGGCGUAAAGCGCGCGUAGGUGGUUCGUUAAGUUGAAUGUGAAAGCCCCGGGCUCAACCUGGGAACUGCAUCCAAAACUGGCGGGCUAGAGUAGGGCAGAGGGUGGUGGAAUUUCCUGUGUAGCGGUGAGAUGCGUAGAUAUAGGAAGGAACACCAGUGGCGAAGGCGACCACCUGGGCUCAUACUGACACUGAGGUGCGAAAGCGUGGGGAGCAAACAGG